rnacentral:rRNA from 1 species
CAGCCGCCACGGUAAUACGUAGGUGGCAAGCGUUGUCCGGAAUUAAUGGGCGUAAAGGGCUCGCAGGCGGUUUCUUAAGUCUGAUGUGAAAGCCCCCGGCUCAACCGGGGAGGGUCAUUGGAAACUGGGAAACUUGAGUGCAGAAGAGGAGAGUGGAAUUCCACGUGUAGCGGUGAAAUGCGUAGAGAUGUGGAGGAACACCAGUGGCGAAGGCGACUCUCUGGUCUGUAACUGACGCUGAGGAGCGAAAGCGUGGGGAGCGAACAGGAUUAGAUACCCCCGUAGUCCCUGUCUCUUAUAC